UCCUACGGGGGGCAGCAGUGAGGAAUAUUGGUCAAUGGGCGGGAGCCUGAACCAGCCAAGCCGCGUGAGGGAAGAAGGUACAGCGUAUCGUAAACCUCUUUUGUCAGGGAACAAAGGCGGGGACUAGUCCCCAGAUGAGGGUACCUGAAGAAAAAGCAUCGGCUAACUCCGUGCCAGCAGCCGCGGUAAUACGGAGGAUGCGAGCGUUAUCCGGAUUUAUUGGGUUUAAAGGGUGCGUAGGCGGGUUAUCAAGUCAGCGGUAAAAUCGUGGAGCUCAACUCCAUCCAGCCGUUGCAACUGAUGAU
rnacentral:rRNA from 1 species